rnacentral:rRNA from 1 species
AGUGAACGCUGGCGGUAGGCCUAACACAUGCAAGUCGAACGGCAGCACAGUAAGAGCUUGCUCUUACGGGUGGCGAGUGGCGGACGGGUGAGGAAUACAUCGGAAUCUACUUUUUCGUGGGGGAUAACGUAGGGAAACUUACGCUAAUACCGCAUACGACCUACGGGUGAAAGCAGGGGAUCUUCGGACCUUGCGCGAUUGAAUGAGCCGAUGUCGGAUUAGCUAGUUGGCGGGGUAAAGGCCCACCAAGGCGACGAUCCGUAGCUGGUCUGAGAGGAUGAUUAGCCACACUGGAACUGAGACACGGUCCAGACUCCUACGGGAGGCAGCAGUGGGGAAUAUUGGACAAUGGGCGCAAGCCUGAUCCAGCCAUACCGCGUGGGUGAAGAAGGCCUUCGGGUUGUAAAGACCUUUUGUUGGGAAAGAAAAGCAGCAGGUUAAUACCCCGCUGUUCUGACGGUACCCAAAGAAUAAGCACCGGCUAACUUCGUG